UCGAGAAUUUUUCUCAAUGGGCGCAAGCCUGAAGGAGCGACGCCGCGUGGAGGAUGAAGGUCUUCGGAUUGUAAACUCCUGUCAUUUGGGAACAAACCCUCCGGUUAACUGCCGGAAGGCUGAUAGUACCAGAAGAGGAAGGGACGGCUAACUCUGUGCCAGCAGCCGCGGUAAUACAGAGGUCUCAACCGUUGUUCGGAUUCAUUGGGCGUAAAGGGUGCGUAGGCGGUCGCGUAAGUCAGGUGUGAAAUCCCGGGGCUCAACCCUGGAACUGCACUUGAUACUGCGUGGCUAGGAUACUGGAGAGGAGACUGGAAUUUACGGUGUAGCAGUGAAAUGCGUAGAUAUCGUAAGGAAGACCAGUGGCGAAGGCGAGUCUCUGGACAGUUAUCGACGCUGA
rnacentral:rRNA from 1 species